ACUCAAAUGAAUUGACGGGGGCCCGCACAAGCAGCGGAGCAUGUGGUUUAAUUCGACGCAACGCGAAGAACCUUACCUGGGCUUGACAUGGCCUUGACCGGCGUGGAAACACGUCUUCCCUUCGGGGCAGGGUCACAGGUGGUGCAUGGCUGUCGUCAGCUCGUGUCGUGAGAUGUUGGGUUAAGUCCCGCAACGAGCGCAACCCCCGUCGCAUGUUGCCAGCAUUAAGUUGGGGACUCAUGCGAGACUGCCGGUGACAAACCGGAGGAAGGUGGGGAUGACGUCAAGUCAUCAUGCCCCUUAUGUCCAGGGCUACACACGUGCUACAUUGGCGUGUACAGAGGGCUGCGAUACCGCGAGGUGGAGCGAAUCCCUUAAAGCACGUCUCGGUUCGGAUUGUAGGCUGAAACCCGCCUACAUGAAGGUGGAGUUGCUAGUAAUCGCGGAUCAGCAUUGCCGCGGUGAAUACGUUCCCGGGCCUUGUACACACCGCCCGU
rnacentral:rRNA from 1 species